rnacentral:rRNA from 1 species
UGGGGAAUAUUGGACAAUGGGCGCAAGCCUGAUCCAGCCAUGCCGCGUGGGUGAUGAAGGCCCUAGGGUUGUAAAGCCCUUUCGGCGGGGAAGAUAAUGACGGUACCCGCAGAAGAAGCCCCGGCUAACUUCGUGCCAGCAGCCGCGGUAAUACGAAGGGGGCUAGCGUUGCUCGGAAUCACUGGGCGUAAAGCGCACGUAGGCGGAUUGUUAAGUCAGGGGUGAAAUCCUGGAGCUCAACUCCAGAACUGCCUUUGAUACUGACGGUCUUGAGUCCGGGAGAGGUGAGUGGAACUGCGAGUGUAGAGGUGAAAUUCGUAGAUAUUCGCAAGAACACCAGUGGCGAAGGCGGCUCACUGGCCCGGUACUGACGCUGAGGUGCGAAAGCGUGGGGAGCAAACAGGAUUAGAUACCCGCGUAGUCC